UACGUAGGGGGCAAGCGUUGUCCGGAAUUACUGGGCGUAAAGCGCCUGUAGGCGGGAACGUGCGUCGGACGUGAAAGGCGGGGGCUCAACCCCCGAGCGGCGUUCGAAACGGCGUUUCUUGAGGGUCGAAGAGGAGCGUGGAAUUCCCGGUGUAGCGGUGAAAUGCGUAGAGAUCGGGAGGAACACCCAUGGCGAAGGCAGCGCUCUGGUCGGCAUCUGACGCUGAGAAGCGAAAGCAUGGGGAGCGAACAGG
rnacentral:rRNA from 1 species